rnacentral:rRNA from 1 species
UACAGAGGCCUCGAGCGUUAGGCGGAAUUACUGGGCUUAAAGCGUGUGUAGGCGGACUUCUAAGUACCUUGUGAAAUCCCACGGCUCACCCGUGGAACUGCUUGGUAUACUGGUUGUCUUGAGCCUUCUAGGGGCGAGUGGAACAAAUGGUGGAGCGGUGAAAUGCGUAGAUAUCAUUUGGAACGCCAAUGGUGAAAACAACUCGCUGGGGAAGUGCUGACGCUGAGACACGAAAGCCAGGGGAGCGAACGGG